UACGUAGGGUGCAAGCGUUACUCGGAAUUACUGGGCGUAAAGCGUGCGUAGGUGGUGAGUUAAGUCUGAUGUGAAAUCCCCGGGCUCAACCUGGGAAUGGCAUUGGAUACUGGCUCGCUAGAGUGCGGUAGAGGGUGGUGGAAUUCCCGGUGUAGCAGUGAAAUGCGUAGAGAUCGGGAGGAACAUCUGUGGCGAAGGCGGCCACCUGGACCAACACUGACACUGAGGCACGAAAGCGUGGGGAGCAAACAGG
rnacentral:rRNA from 1 species